GGGUUGUGGCUCAGUGGUAGAGUAUCCAUUUUGGCAUGCAGAAGGUCCCAGGUUCAAUUCCUGGCAUAUUCG
rnacentral:tRNA from 1 species